CGGAAGGGACGCAUGUCUCUCCCGGCGGGCGCUAGCCUCCGACUGGCCUAGGGUGAGGGUGGCCCAUUAUGGGGGAGAUUAGAAACCCGCCAAGGGGCUGAGAGCGGGGUGGGGUGGGGGUUGCCGUAUACCAGUGGAUGCCAGGCGCGGAUGGAACUGAAGCGCGGAUUAGCAUGGCUGGCACCGCCCCCCUCUUGCGUCCCAAACCGCUCUUCCUAGCUGGUCUCCCCAUUCCACUCCAGCUUGGGCCACCGGAACUUCACGGCCCUGGUGAUCCUGGGACCCGGCUUUAACUCUUUUCGCCCCACUGUGGUCCCAGGCAGACUGGAACCAAACGGAAAGUCCCCUCCCUCGCCAGUAUGGUGGUGCUGGCCGGCUGGGGGCUGAAGCUGUGGUGGGGAGGGUGUCCAAAAGGAGUCUCAGCAGAGACAGCAACAAGAAAUCCUAGGGACUCAGGAGUCCUAUUGCCCUAGUGCUAAUAUCCCCCAAGCCCUUCCAAAAGGCCAGGGGUGGGCCUGGGUGAGGUCUGUGUUCCUCGAAAGAAAGGAAAAAGGAAGAAAUGUGGAGUUGAGACAGGAGAGACUGGCAAAAAUCAGAUCUGUGACCUCCUGUUUUUUUUUUCUUUUCCCUGUAUUUUGGCCGCGCUGUUCGGCAUGCAGGACGGUUCCCUGACCAGGGAUCAAACCCGGGCCUCCGCAGUGAAAGCUCUGAAUCCUAGCCACUAGGCCACCAGGAAACUCCCAGAUCUAAUGACUUUUGACCUAGAAUUGCUCCCGCUUCAUCCUUGAAUUGGGGACAGAUACCCAAGGCCUGAACCCCACCCACCAUGAUCUAUGGAGAGAAAAAGAGUAGGGGAUUCUGGCAAGAGACCUUAGUGCCAACUUGGUUCAGGCUCUUUGUGGUGGUGGCCCUGGACGGAUCAGCACACCUCUCCUGUAAAAUGGGUUUGCCGGGCUCCACAAAGAGGAGAGAUGAGAAGUAGAAUGAAGAAGAUUUGUGCAGAUUCAAAGACCCUAAAAAUCCAGUAUGCCUGGGAGGAGUGGGCCGCUCUAGUCAAACUACUUUAUCCCGCCUGCGCAAUCCAGCUGACUUCCGGCUUCCACUGCCCACGUGAUCAG